UACGUAGGGGGCAAGCGUUGUCCGGAUUUAUUGGGCGUAAAGAGCGUGUAGGCGGCCAGGGAGGUCCGUUGUGAAAACUCGAGGCUCAACCUCGAGACGCCGAUGGAAACCCCCUGGCUAGAGUCCGGAAGAGGAGAAUGGAAUUCCUGGUGUAGCGGUGAAAUGCGUAGAUAUCAGGAGGAACACCGGUGGUGUAGACGGCUCUCUGGACCGUAACUGACGCUGAGGCACGAAAGCGUGGGUAGCAAACAGG
rnacentral:rRNA from 1 species